UUGGCCUUGACAUACUAAGAACUUUCCAGAGAUGGAUUGGUGCCUUCGGGAACUUAGAUACAGGUGCUGCAUGGCUGUCGUCAGCUCGUGUCGUGAGAUGUUGGGUUAAGUCCGCAACGAGCGCAACCCUUUUCCUUAUUUGCCAGCGGGUCAUGCCGGGAACUUUAAGGAUACUGCCAGUGACAAACUGGAGGAAGGCGGGGACGACGUCAAGUCAUCAUGGCCCUUACGGCCAGGGCUACACACGUGCUACAAUGGUCGGUACAAAGGGUUGCUACCUCGCGAGAGGAUGCUAAUCUCAAAAAGCCGAUCGUAGUCCGGAUCGCAGUCUGCAACUCGACUGCGUGAAGUCGGAAUCGCUAGUAAUCGCGGAUCAAAAUGCCGCGGUGAAUACGUUCCCGGGCCUUGUACACACCGCCCGUCACACCAUGGGAGUUUGUUGCACCAGAAGUAGGUAGUCUAACCGCAAGGAGGACGCUUACCACGGUGUGGCCGAUGACUGGGGUGAAGUCGUAACAAGGUAAGCGUAGAUGA
rnacentral:rRNA from 1 species